CAUGGCCGUCGUCAGCUCGUGUCGUGAGAUGUUGGGUUAAGUCCCGCAACGAGCGCAACCCUUGUCAUUAGUUGCUACGAAAGGGCACUCUAAUGAGACUGCCGGUGACAAACCGGAGGAAGGUGGGGAUGACGUCAGGUCAUCAUGGCCCUUAUGGGUAGGGCUACACACGUCAUACAAUGGCCGGGACAGAGGGCUGCCAACCCGCGAGGGGGAGCUAAUCCCAGAAACCCGGUCGUAGUCCGGAUCGCAGUCUGCAACUCGACUGGGUGAAGUCGGAAUCGCUAGUAAUCGCGGAUCA
rnacentral:rRNA from 1 species